CAGGUAUCGAAGUAGAUGUUCCUCAUGCUGCAGUCUUCUUCAAAGGUGGAAUGCAGUGGCAUUUAGGGUGAAAGGCCUAUGUGGUACACCAGCUUUGGGUCUGCAGACAGUUCAUCCAGGAGCUGUUGCUGCUGUGUAAGGAUCGGACGAUCAACACCGGCGAUACAGGCAACAACAACAGAGCACGAAUAAAACAUGGCUGGCAUCCAGCCACUGUAUGAGGGUAGCUUUCUUUUAAAUAUUUUUUUCGCGUAUGCUAUUAUGUCAACAAACCAAUAGCAAGGUGAUUUCGUGAAGAAUAAGAUAUUUACAAAUUACAAAAGUUAUGUAUACCUAAGUUCAUAGCCAUGUCCCUGAAAGUCCCUGGUGUCGAGAUUACGCAUUCAGUCCGAAAUCAAAUGCGAAUGUGCUUCGGGAACUGAUUCGACCAAACAUGUCAUUUUCAUCCAAUGGCAUCACUUGCUUUGUGUGACAGCAAACAAAUGACAUACAAAUAAAUGACACUUACUGUAAAUGACAUUAGAUUUGCCCUGUGA